GGCCGACAUCGUUCCGGCUGCCAGGAUUGCGUAUGUCAACACCUGCCACAAAACAUCUCAGUUACAAGGAGGCAGCGUGCAGUCCUUGAAACACAUGUGAGAGCUUGGAAGUAGCUGUGCAGACUACGAAUCUAGCAAACUCCAGAAAAUAAUAAGAAUCCAUAUGAUUCAGAAGACUCUUUUCUCAAUCUUCAAGAUUGGAGCUGAUGAACUGGUCUUUCAGAUUGGAGAAUUGAUGCUUCAAUUUGUUGUUCGUCUCUUUGAGGUGUUGAUAUAAACAGGAAUAGAGACACUAAGAAGAAUAUUGAAAGGCUUUCUGCAACAGACAGAAUGGUUCCGUGUUGAUGAGUACUUGACAGAGUGGGAUUAGACUGCUUGCCUGGUC